rnacentral:rRNA from 1 species
UAAGACAGAGGGUGCUAGCGUUGUUCGGAAUGACUGGGCGUAAAGGGCGCGUAGGCGGCUUAUUUAGUCAGGCGUGAAAGCCCCGGGCUUAACCUGGGAACUGCGCUUGAUACUGGUAGGCUAGAGUUCGGAAGAGGAAGGUGGAAUUCCUAGUGUAGAGGUGAAAUUCGUAGAUAUUAGGAGGAACAUCUGAGGCGAAGGCGGCCUUCUGGUCCGCAACUGACGCUGAGGCGCGAAAGCGUGGGGAGCAAACAGG